UGUUGACUUUUGACAUCAAACUCUUCAGUCCAGCUGCACUCUAUUGAGUGUGAACGAUCUUACUCAAUAGUACCCAAACUGGUCAAGGUUCCUGUAAAGAGAAGACCAAACUUCAGGCAAGAAUAGAGUUUGGAGAUGGACUUGCUUACCCGUCUAAAGGAUGUGGAAUUGGAGAAUAAGUGAGCUAAUCUUGGAAGAAUUUUGCAGAAAAACAGGACAUUUCUCCAUGGAUCCAGAGGAAGUGGUAACUGAGGGUUUGAGCUCUAUAGGGAUCUGGCUUCUUCAUGGGUAUUCCUAGUGGAUGGCCUCAAGUCUACAAUAGAGACUGCUUGGCUGUCUGCAGUGGAAAAGACCUUCAAGUUGACUGUGAGUGGGUGCGACUCAUCAAGAAAAAUAACCUCACCACCACAACAACACAUGAUGGGAGAGACCGAAACUUCUUUGGGAGAACAUAAGGGGAAAAAAAAAAGAAAAAGUGAAGUCUAAAUAUUAUUAAACACAUGAAAGCAGAGUCAUUUACUUAUUAGGAAGGCGCUCAUUCACACACAGGUAGACUUGUGGUCCCUUAGAAGUACGUAAACACAACCCGUCAGUCCACCACAGUCAACAUCAGAAUUUCUUGGGAAAUGCCUCAUGAAAGAGUUUUUAAAGAAUAAUAUGACUGUGGAUCUGUCAAAUAAUUUCCCAAAAGCCAUGAAAGAUGAGUUGCUCUGCUCUGUUAUGCAUUUCCUUCCCUUGCACGGGCACUCACAGCUUGCCAAAUUUAGUCUGAGAUCUGAACAGAGAGAAAACAUGAACUCUUUCAACUGAAGUUCGGCUUCCUGUUUCUACAUGGCCUCUCAUACUCUGGGCCAUUCUGCAGAUCUACCCAGGUGUGUUUCCUGGACACUUGAUAAAAAUCAUUCUCACAUCAAAGUUGACCAAAAAUGAUUGAUGAUAAGUAGUUAAGGGUUUAUAAAUGCCAGACUAUGGGAGAUGAUUGUAAAAUAAAUAGAUAUAAAUAAAUAAAUAAACAAAUAAAUGUA
rnacentral:lncRNA from 1 species